rnacentral:rRNA from 1 species
GAAUAUUGGACAAUGGGCGAAAGCCUGAUCCAGCCAUGCCGCGUGUGUGAAGAAGGUCUUCGGAUUGUAAAGCACUUUAAGUUGGGAGGAAGGGCAGUAAGCGAAUACCUUGCUGUUUUGACGUUACCGACAGAAUAAGCACCGCCUAACUCUGUGUCAGCCGCGGCGGUAAAACAGCGGGUGCAAGCGUUAAUCGAACUUACUGGGCGUAAAGCGCGCGUAGGUGGUUCGGUAAGUUGGAUGUGAAAUCCCCGGGCUCAACCUGGGAACUGCAUCCAAAGCUGACGAGCUAGAGUAGGGCAGAGGGUGGUGGAAUUUCCUGUGUAGCGGUGAAAUGCGUAGAUAUAGGAAGGAACACCAGUGGCGAAGGCGACCACCUGGGCUCAUACUGACACUGAGGUGCGAAAGCGUGGGGAGCAAACA